rnacentral:rRNA from 1 species
GAUGAACGCUGGCGGCGUGCCUAAUACAUGCAAGUCGGACGAAGGAUGCUUUGCUUGCAUCGCAUCCUUAGUGGCGAACGGGUGAGUAACGCGUUGGUGACCUGCCCCAAAGCGAGGGAUAGCAACUGGAAACGGUUGGUAAUACCUCAUAUGAUCUAGCGGAUUAGAAUCGCUUGAUUAAAGGAGUAAUCCACUUUGGGAGGGGCCUGCGUCCCAUCAGCUAGUUGGUAGGGUAAUGGCCUACCAAGGCGAUGACGGGUAGGGGACCUGAGAGGGUGACCCCCCACACUGGAACUGAAACACGGUCCAGACACCUACGGGUGGCUG